rnacentral:rRNA from 1 species
GUGGGGAAUUUUGGACAAUGGGCGCAAGCCUGAUCCAGCAAUGCCGCGUGCAGGAAGAAGGCCUUCGGGUUGUAAACUGCUUUUGUACGGAACGAAACGGUCCUGGCUAAUACCCGGGGCUAAUGACGGUACCGUAAGAAUAAGCACCGGCUAACUACGUGCCAGCAGCCGCGGUAAUACGUAGGGUGCGAGCGUUAAUCGGAAUUACUGGGCGUAAAGCGUGCGCAGGCGGUGCUGUAAGACAGGCGUGAAAUCCCCGGGCUCAACCUGGGAAUUGCGCUUGUGACUGCAGUGCUGGAGUGCGGCAGAGGGGGAUGGAAUUCCGCGUGUAGCAGUGAAAUGCGUAGAUAUGCGGAGGAACACCGAUGGCGAAGGCAAUCCCCUGGGCCUGCACUGACGCUCAUGCACGAAAGCGUGGGGAGCAAACAGGAUUAGAUACCCGUGUAGGUCC